rnacentral:rRNA from 1 species
CCCUUAGAUGUUCUGGGCCGCACGCGCGCUACACUGACGGGGACAACGAGUUUGCAACCUGCGCCGGUAGGUGUGGGUAAUCUUUUGAGCCCUCGUCGUGCUGGGGCUAGAUCUUUGUAAUUUUCGAUCUCAAACGAGGAAUUCCUAGUAAGCGUGAUUCAUCAGAUCGCGUUGAUUACGUCCCUGCCCUUUGUACACACCGCCCGUCGCUACUACCGAUUGAGUGAUCCGGUGAAUAAUUCGGACUGAUGCAAUAUUCAGCUCCUGGACGUUGCGUUGGAAAGUUUAGUGAACCUUAUCACUUAGAGGAAGGAGAAGUCGUANCA